ACAUGCAAGUCGAGGGGAAACGACAUCGAAAGCUUGCUUUUGAUGGGCGUCGACCGGCGCACGGGUGAGUAACGCGUAUCCAACCUGCCCAUCACUUGGGGAUAACCUUGCGAAAGUAAGACUAAUACCCAAUGACGUCUCUAGAAGACAUCUGAAAGAGAUUAAAGAUUUAUCGGUGAUGGAUGGGGAUGCGUCUGAUUAGCUUGUUGGCGGGGUAACGGCCCACCAAGGCGACGAUCAGUAGGGGUUCUGAGAGGAAGGUCCCCCACAUUGGAACUGAGACACGGUCCAAACUCCUACGGGAGGCAGCAGUGAGGAAUAUUGGUCAAUGGACGAGAGUCUGAACCAGCCAAGUAGCGUGCAGGAUGACGGCCCUAUGGGUUGUAAACUGCUUUUAUAAGGGAAUAAAGUUAGUCUCGUGAGACUUUUUGCAUGUACCUUAUGAAUAAGGACCGGCUAAUUCCGUGCCAGCAGCCGCGGUAAUACGGAAGGUCCGGGCGUUAUCCGGAUUUAUUGGGUUUAAAGGGAGCGUAGGCCGGAGAUUAAGCGUGUUGUGAAAUGUAGACGCUCAACGUCUGCACUGCAGCGCGAACUGGUUUCCUUGAGUACGCACAAAGUGGGCGGAAUUCGUGGUGUAGCGGUGAAAUGCUUAGAUAUCACGAAGAACUCCGAUUGCGAAGGCAGCUCACUGGAGCGCAACUGACGCUGAAGCUCGAAAGUGCGGGUAUCGAACAGGAUUAGAUACCCUGGUAGUCCGCACGGUAAACGAUGGAUGCCCGCUGUUGGUCUGAAUAGGUCAGCGGCCAAGCGAAAGCAUUAAGCAUCCCACCUGGGGAGUACGCCGGCAACGGUGAAACUCAAAGGAAUUGACGGGGGCCCGCACAAGCGGAGGAACAUGUGGUUUAAUUCGAUGAUACGCGAGGAACCUUACCCGGG
rnacentral:rRNA from 1 species